rnacentral:Y_RNA from 1 species
GGCUGCUCCAAGUGCAGUAGUGUUUACAACUAAUUGAUACAACAGGUUACAAAUUUCUUUGUUGCUUCUUCAUUCCCACUGCUUCACUUGGCUAGCCUUAA